GUUGGAGUCUAAAGUGAGUGUCACCCCUUCCUUUGGUCAUUUUGGUACUGUGAUGAGGUCAUGUUCACCUGACUCUGAAGGGGGCGGGGGCAAAGACAAGAGGAAAGAAAGGACAUGAUAAAAGGGAGAGACAUUUUGCAAUGCUCGCUCUCUCCCACCUACGUCUACAGACACCACCAAGUGACUGAAAUGCUGAUUAAAGGGGAGAGCCUGUCUGAAAAGUAACUAGCCAGCCUGUGGUGAGAAGCAUCUAAGUUUUUAAGGACACUGAAAAUGUUAAGUUCAGCUUAGAAUGCAUUUUGCUUUUAUUUCAUUUGUCCAAAUCUGACUUGUUAUGCUUUG